rnacentral:rRNA from 1 species
GAUGAAUGCUGGCGGCGUGCCUAAUACAUGCAAGUCGAGCGGUAAGGCCCUUCGGGGUACACGAGCGGUGGACGGCUGAGUAACGCGUGGGAACAUGCCCCAAAGUGAGGGAUAACGCACCGAAAGGUGUGCUAAUACCGCAUAUGGUCUUCGGAUUAAAGGAUUUAUCCGCUUUGGGAGUGGCCCGCGUACGAUUAGAUUGUUGGUGAGGUAACGGCUCACCAAGUCGACGAUCGUUAACUGGUCUGAGAGGAUGAUCAGUCAGACUGGAACUGAGACACGGUCCAGACUCCUACGGGAGGCAGCAGUAAGGAAUCUUCCACAAUGGGCGAAAGCCUGAUGGAGCAACGCCGCGUGCAGGAUGAAGGCCCUCGGGUCGUAAACUGCUUUAUGAGUGAAGAAUAUGACGGUAACUCAUGAAUAAGCACCGGCUAACUACGUGCCAGCAGCCGCGGUAAU